AUGCCCCCUCGCCUUAGUCGACUUGUUCCUGAGAUGAGAAGACUCGCUUGGAAACAGACUACGCACUUAGAAUCCCUACCCCAUUGUGAUUGUGGGAUUGGUCUUCCUGUUCUUUAUCAGCCGCUAAAGGAGGAAUCUGAUCCAGUGGAUGCUGGAAAGUGAGGCUACAGUGGAAUCAGUAGAUCGAGUUGAAGCAGAUGUGGUGGACUCUGUUGCAGAUGAAACUAUAUCUUUAGCCGAAUGUUCCGGUGGUGAAGUUGAAUCUGUGGAGUCUGGGCCAGAGACUGACCUUUCUAGUUCCGUGUCAGAAGGGCCUCCAUUUGCGUAG